UUCAAGUACAAACACUACAUAUGUGUGACAAAAUAAUCUCAACUCAAUGUCCAUUUACUAGCUUUUUCUUAACUUUCAAAUCACAUUUUACAAUCUUAAUGAGCAAAUGGAAACCGGAGCUCAGAAAAAGCUAAGAAGUGGACCAUAAGUUAAGAUUAUUUUGUCACACAUACUGAUCCCAAGGUCAGGAAGGAACUUUCAUGCUCAAAUCAUCAUUUUAUAGAAAUAAUAUCUCAACUAACAUUUCUGAUAUUGUCAACAUAUCGGUUACUAGUAUCAUGGGCAAAUACAUCUUAUCAUAAGCUCAUUUCUUGCAUGCUUCAAUACACUGAAGCAUGUGUUACAAUGAGUGAUGAGGAGGAGGCUUUCAAAGGGAUUAAUCACGACAAGCUGUGCAUUAAACCAUGAUGAAUGGUGUGAUGCAGCCUUGAUGCAUAACCUUUGGAGGCGUACUAUUGGCUGAUUUAGUGCAUCAGGGAGGGUGUUUGGGUAGACGUCGCUGUACUCCUUAUUUUACAACACUUGGGUGUCCUUCAUUCAGCACUUGAGAAUUAUGAUUUUAGUGUCUUUAUUGAAAGCAUCUACGUCCUUUUUGCUAAGUAGUGUUUCACUUCUUAGUCAAAGCGUCGAACUUCACCGAGUGGUAUAUGAAGGAGGGAGGCAGCAAUAAGUUAUCUUUCUUAGUGUGUUGUAGUACACAUCUGCCAACAGCUGGAGGGCUUUGACAAUGGUACGUUUAAAUAGCGCUGUAAUGAUUUGUUGAUACACUGAAACAUAAUCAGCAGAUAUUUUGAUUAUCAAUUAAUUGUUUCAGUUAUUUUGUUUAAAGCAAAAAUGCCAAAUAUUUGUUACUUCCAGCUUCUAAAAUGUAAGGAUUUGCUGCUUUUCUUUGUCAUAUGUGACAAUAAAUUAAAAGUCUUUAGCUUUUGGACUAUUGGUCGGACAAAACAAGCAAACUGAAGAUAUCACCGUGGGCUCUGAGAAUAUUUACACAAUGUUUUAACAUUUUACAAAACUAAACAAUCAAUCAAUGAAUUGUGAAAAUAAUCUGCAAAAUAAUUGUUAGGUGCAGCCCUAUUUUGGACUGUUGGUCGAAUAAAACAAGCAACUUGAAUAUAUCCCUUUAGACUCUGGGAAACUAAUGGAAAUUUUUCACUACUUUGACAUUUUAUAGACAAAAAAGAAAAAAAACAAAACGAUAAGAAGAAUUAUUAUUAGUUGGAGCCCUACUACUGCAUAACUCACUGGGGGUUUUGGGUAAGGAGAAACCCUCAUUUUCUGUAAGUUCUCUUUAUGAAAGUGAUAAUGACGUUUCUGUACUGUUCCCUUUUUUUUUUUCCUGGUGCUACAAACUUCCCAGGACUGCAAGCUCACAUCCUGACAAACAGCGUUUUUAGAGCCAUACCCGACACCGCCGUCCUCCAGACGCCGUCUACUUCAGGAUGAACACAGGAAACCUCAAAUGAUCACUUCCUCUCUUUAAGAAUGGACUGACAUCACUUUCUAACAACAUGAUCGCAUGACUGAGUGACACAUUAUGUAAUGUAAUGUUUGACGCCCUGACUGGGAAUACACUGGAGUUGUCCUACCUCCUCCAGUAAGUUACAUUAUAUUGUAAUUUCCAAGUACUGCGAGAGAUUUAGGAAAUAAAAGUAAAUCAUAUAAAAGAAAAACAUGCCACAGGUUUGAAUCAUCCAAAAGGUCACACUCCCUCAAAACAAAAGGAUAAUUUCUUUGACGAGAGGUUGAAAAGGUAAAUCUGUUGAGAUUUGAAGAAGGAAAGGUAAAGAAGAGAGUAGCUGUCCUCCUGUUACAAAGAGCUGCUCUGCUUCACAGCAAGUGUCAAAAGCUAUUAUGAUCUUCUUUUCUCCUUUAUGUUUUGAUCUAGCUACAUUUAACCACCACAAGACAGGAAAAAAAAAAUGCAAAAAAAAAAAAAAGGAGACGGGCUGCUGAGCUGCCAUCAGGGAGAGACUAAUAAUUUCUGAAAGCAUACAGUAACCUACAUCUGGGAAGUCUCGGCACACAUGAGAGCUCGUCUUUGCAUGGGAGCCUGUUGGAUCUGUCUACUCAAUCAACCUCCCUGGGUUUUAAUACGACCUGAAGAUGUAGUGAGAUAUCGUAUUCUCCUGCUACAGGUAAAAAACCUGAUCAAAUGUCCUGUAUAUGUUUCACAUCCAGCAUGGACAACCAGUCAGACCAGGCUGGAGAUGUACCAAGUAAGAUCAGACAAAGAAAAUAUAAAAUAUGGGUGUUAUAAAGUCUAAGAAUUUCCAGUAAUGUGAGAUGACACUUUUUUUUUUUUUUAUUAUCUGAUCUGGCUUUCUCUUUAGUGACAAAUUAUUAUAUUUUUAAAUUCCUCACUGCUGAUGACUAUUCAAGGUGGCACUGGGAUGGGCCCACCUCUUCCUAAAUCCACCUCCAGAGCUUGACUGAGGCCCCGAGAAGCCAUCGAUGAGGUAAAUACAAAAGGCAUGGCACCAACAAACCUCACCAAACCAACUCUCAAGAGCAGAGAGAUGACCAUUAGCUUGGAUUAUGCAACCAUAAGUGGCACUGUGGCUGUUGCCUGAUGCCUACAGGCCAAAACACAGCCUCAGCUGGUAAAUACUACUCACAUGUAGACUUGGGUAAACACAUGCGAAACUACUCUGUGUCAUUAAACGCAGUAGGCUAAAACUGAACAGCUGCAAAAAAUAAAAAUCACAGCAGUUGAGGUUUGUUUGCACCAGAACUUGGGGUAGUUGUAUUAGCCGGGCUGCUAGCUGAAUUUAACGUGAACACACCGAAUCCGCGAAAGGCCACGAGCGACAGCACAGUUUCCGGUUUAGAUGCCGCUGUCACUGUCUGUCUUGACGCAGCUGUAAAGCGGUUCAGCUCCAUGCAGCUCCUGCACUGUGGUCCAGCCGCAGCCGCAGCAGCAGCAGCAGCAGCAGCAGGGACAUUUUGGCUCUACCCGGGCUGAAGGUGGUGUGAUGAGCCGCGGGGCGGGUCCGCAGCUCCGUCCCGCUCACGGCACGACACGCUUGAGCCAAAAUGGCACAUUCAUCAUCCCCGGUAACCUUGUCAGACCAGAACCGCCGUGCAGAGAAUGACAGCAGCGGCCUAUUGAUCAGCACGAUGCAGCAGAAGAGCGUCAGAGGUGAUCGAUGAAACGGGAUGUGACAGUGUUGGCGGGGAUGUAGUGAUGUGCACUGCCCACCCAAACUCUGUUAACCCCUCCUUAUUUACACACCCAAUCACAGUUGCCAAUACUGUUAUUUUUAUUAUUGAUUCAUAACUACUUUGUAAAAUAGUAAAAAAUAAUAUGCAACGACCUUCAAUGUUACUUGAACCCAAGGUGAUGUAAUAAAGGAACUUAUUUAUUGUGAUUAAAUCAAAGAUAAAAUACAAUAGAAAGUAAUUUGUGAGGCUGUAACAGCAAAGCCUGGAAUUUUUACUUGAUAAAUGACAAUCAAUAACCAAAACUGGAACUGAUUACAGUGGUGGAAAGUAUUUACUCAAGUACUUAACUUGAGUAUUUCCAUUUUCUGCUACUUCACACUUGUACUCCACUACAUGUCAGAGGGAGAUAUUGUACAUUUUACUCCAGUUUUGACAGCUGUAGUUCGUAGUUACCUUGCAGAUUAGUACGAUACUUAAAAUUAAUAAUAUAGUUAAAAUUAUCCCCCUUUCGACCAGAUACAUACAAAUGCUGCUACUUGUUAAUGCAUCGGUCAUAAUACCAAAAUAGUAGUAUAGAUAAUAAUUUAACACUGGUACGGGGCACUCUGCUGCAUAGGAAAUACUUUGAUACUUUUACUUAAGUCAAAUUUUGAAUGCAGAAUUUACUUGUUAUGGGGAAUUUAUACUUAUAUGUAGUAUUUAUUGUCCUGUUGCUACUUUUACACCACUGUUGACUGAUGUUCUUACAUUUGAACUCAUUCAGCACUCGUGCAAACCCUCAUAGCAACAUAACCAAUUUUUCAAACUGAUACAAAAUUUAAACAGUUGUGUGGUUUUAAUUAAACAAACUUUAGUUUUAAAAUGUAUUUUCGCUUGUAGUGAAAAUGUAUCUUCUUCUAGUGUUUAUCAGAGUAUUGUGUUGCAUAACAGCUCAUAUCUAUGAAUUCAAGGAAGUGUAAAGGAAGAGGCCCACUGUGUAGAUUUUUAUAGGCUUAACUGUUUAUUCUUUUUAGAAAAUGAGCAUCACUUACAAAUACCUUACAUAUAAAGGCCUCAACCAGUACUUCAAAUGUGCUCAUCAAAGCAGAAACGUAGGAAAAUACAAUACUGCUGACUUUGUUUCCUCAUUAGCUGGCAUUGAGAUGACAAGUAUUCUUAUAGUGGCCAAAACAAAUCUGAGAAGUCAUGUAAUAAAGAGAAGCAUCAAUAG